ACUCCUACGGGAGGCAGCAGUGGGGAAUAUUGCGCAAUGGGCGAAAGCCUGACGCAGCGACGCCGCGUGGGGGAUGACGGCCUUCGGGUUGUAAACCUCUUUCGACCGGGACGAAGGGUAACUGACGGUACCGGUAGAAGAAGCACCGGCCAACUACGUGCCAGCAGCCGCGGUAAUACGUAGGGUGCGAGCGUUGUCCGGAAUUAUUGGGCGUAAAGAGCUCGUAGGCGGUGUGUCACGUCGGUCGUGAAAACUUGGGGCUUAACCCUGAGCGUGCGGUCGAUACGGGCAUCACUUGAGUUCGGCAGGGGAGACUGGAAUUCCUGGUGUAGCGGUGAAAUGCGCAGAUAUCAGGAGGAACACCGGUGGCGAAGGCGGGUCUCUGGGCCGACACUGACGCUGAGACGCGAAAGCGUGGGGAGCGAACAGGAUUAGAUACCCUGGUAG
rnacentral:rRNA from 1 species